UUGGAGGGCAAGUCUGGUGCCAGCAGCCGCGGUAAUUCCAGCUCCAAUAGCGUAUAUUAAAGUUGUUGCAGUUAAAAAGCUCGUAGUUGAAUUUCGGGAUCAGUAGGUCGGUCGUGCCACUGGUAUGCACUGGUCUCACUGGUUCCUCCUUCCUGAUGGACCGUAAUGCCAUUAAUUUGGUGUUGCGGGGAAACUGGACUGUUACUUUGAAAAAAUUAGUGUUUAAAGCAGGCUAACGCUUGAAUACAUUAGCAUGGAAUAAUGAAAUAGGAUGAUCGAUCCUAUUUUGUUGGUUUCUAGGAUUGACGUAAUGAUUAAUAGGGAUAGUUGGGGGCAUUAGUAUUCAAUUGUCAGAGGUGAAAUUCUUGGAUUUAUUGAAGACUAACUACUGCGAAAGCAUUUGCCAAGGAUGUUUUCAUUAAUCAAGAACGAAAGUUAGGGGAUCGAAGACGAUCAGAUACCGUCGUAGUCUUAACCAUAAACUAUGCCCGACUAGGAUCGAGAU
rnacentral:rRNA from 1 species